rnacentral:tRNA from 1 species
GUCCCCAUCGUCUAGCGGUCAGGACAGCGGGUUUUCAUCCCGCCAACGGGGGUUCGAUUCCCCCUGGGGAUA